rnacentral:rRNA from 1 species
UACGAAGGGGGCUAGCGUUGCUCGGAAUCACUGGGCGUAAAGGGUGCGUAGGCGGGUCUUUAAGUCAGGGGUGAAAUCCUGGAGCUCAACUCCAGAACUGCCUUGAUACUGAAGAUCUUGAGUUCGGGAGAGGUGAGUGGAACUGCGAGUGUAGAGGUGAAAUUCGUAGAUAUUCGCAAGAACACCAGUGGCGAAGGCGGCUCACUGGCCCGAGUACUGACGCUGAGGCACGAAAGCGUGGGGAGCAACAGGG